GACAGAGGGGGCAAGCGUUGCUCGGAAUUACUGGGCGUAAAGGGCGCGUAGGCGGGAUGGCAAGUCGGUCGUGAAAUCCCUCGGCUCAACCGAGGAACGUCGAUCGAUACUGCUGUUCUUGAGGAUUGCAGAGGAGACUGGAAUUCCCGGUGUAGCGGUGAAAUGCGUAGAUAUCUGGAGGAACACCGGUGGCGAAGGCGGCGUCCUGGACCAACACUGACACUGAUGAGCGAAAGCCAGGGGAGCAAACGGG
rnacentral:rRNA from 1 species